rnacentral:rRNA from 1 species
ACGAUGAUCUCCAGCUUGCUGGGGGGAUUAGUGGCGAACGGGUGAGUAACACGUGAGUAACCUGCCCUUGACUCUGGGAUAAGCCUGGGAAACUGGGUCUAAUACUGGAUACGACCUUCCAUCGCAUGGUGGUUGGUGGAAAGCUUUUGUGGUUUUGGAUGGACUCGCGGCCUAUCAGCUUGUUGGUGGGGUAAUGGCCUACCAAGGCGACGACGGGUAGCCGGCCUGAGAGGGUGGACGGCCACACUGGGACUGAGACACGGCCCAGACUCCUACGGGAGGCAGCAGUGGGGAAUAUUGCACAAUGGGCGCAAGCCUGAUGCAGCGACGCCGCGUGAGGGAUGAAGGCCUUCGGGUUGUAAACCUCUUUCAGUAGGGAAGAAGCGAAAGUGACGGUACCUGCAGAAGAAGCGCCGGCUAACUACGUGCCAGCAGCCGCGGUAAUACGUAGGGCGCAAGCGUUAUCCGGAAUUAUUGGGCGUAAAGAGCUCGUAGGCGGUUUGUCGCGUCUGCCGUGAAAGUCCGGGGCUUAACCCCGGAUCUGCGGUGGGUACGGGCAGACUUGAGUGAUGUAGGGGAGACUGGAAUUCCUGGUGUAGCGGUGAAAUGCGCAGAUAUCAGGAGGAACACCGAUGGCGAAGGCAGGUCUCUGGGCAUUAACUGACGCUGAGGAGCGAAAGCAUGGGGAGCGAACAGGAUUAGAUACCCUGGUAGUCCAUGCCGUAAACGUUGGGCACUAGGUGUGGG